AGAACAAUAAAAACCUGUCUUCUCUUCUUCCGUUCUCAAUCAGUUGGGUUCCCAGACCUUUGUUUUCUUUCUUCUUCAACGUAUCCUCUCUCACUUUACCCAGGCAUCCAUCCAUCCAUCCAUCCAAAUUUGACUUUAGGUUUUAAUUAGUUUAAUUAAUUAACUAAUUAGCAUCAUAGAAAUAGAAUAUAAUUUUAUAUAUAUAUAUAUAUAUUCACCCGCUGAUUAUAAUUAUCCCCUCUCUUUUGUGUCUUUCAAUCACCCAAAUUCCUCUCCUCUCCUCCAAAGGUUUGGAAUUUUCCUUAAUUAAUAAACAGUAAAAAUAUGUCUGGGAGAAAUCGAGGACCGCCUCUGCCCAUGAAAGGUGGACCUCACCCUUCACUACCACCGGCUGCCAUACAUGAGGCUCGCUUUGGCAGGGGACUCGGACCAUUGCCCCCUCAUCCAGGUUUAUUAGAGGAUAUGAGAGAACCCCAGUUUGGGAUGGACCCCAGGCGCCUUCCUCCUCAUCACGUUAUGUUUGAGGAUCGUCUUGCAGUCCAGCACCAAGAUAUUCAAGUUUUAUUAGCUGACAACCAGCGCCUAGCUGCGACCCAUGUUGCAUUAAAGCAGGAAUUGGAAGCUGCACAGCAUGAGUUGCAUAGGAUGGCACAUUUCGGGGAUGCAUUUCAUGCUGAGAAGGAUGUUCAGAUGAGGGAGUUGCAUGAGAAGUCUCUGAGGAUGAAGAUGGAUCUUCGUGGGGUGGAAGCUAUGCGGAAUGAGCUUCAUCAUGUGCGUUCUGAUAUUAAAGAACUUACUGAUGCAAAGCAGGAGCUUACGGGUCGGAUGCAGGCGAUGAGUCAAGAUUUGGCUAGGUAUAAUGUAGAUUUGCAACAAGUGCCAUCUGUGAAGGCUGAAAUUGAGAAUAUGAAGCAGGAACUGCAGCGUGCGCGAGCUGCCAUCGAGUAUGAGAAGAAAGGCUAUGCGGAGAAUUACGAGCAUGGUGUGGUGAUGGAGAAAAAACUGGUUGGCAUGGCUCGGGAGAUGGAGAAGCUUCGGGCAGAGAUUGCUAAUGCAGAGAAGAGAGCUCGUGCUGCCGCUGCUAUAGGAAAUCCAGCUGCAGCUUAUAAUGCAAAUUACGGAAAUCCGGAAACUGGAUACACAGCAAAUCCAUAUCAGGCUGUCUAUGGCAUGAAUCCUGUGCAAGCUAAUGCUGAAAGUUUUCCGCAGUAUGGAGCUGGACCUGGUUCCUGGGGUGCAUAUGAUAUGCAGCGAGCUCAAGGACCCAGAUAGAUUGGCUUUCAGACCAAGCUAAGAUGUGUUUCAAAUGGGCUCAUGACCUUUUAGCCAUCAAAUUGUUGCCUUCGCCAUGGUGGAUCAUGGGGUUCUGCUGUCUGAGAGGCACAGAUAACAAUAUGCAACCAAAGUCAUAUUUGGCACUCUAAUUGGGAUCAAUCCAAGAUGCUCUUGUACUCGCAACCUCGGUCUGUCGAUUGCGGUGGCAGCCACAUCUGUGGUUGCAAUAAGUUUUUGAGGCUUCCAUCAAUUCCUUUAGAGAAGGUUUCUUGGCAAGGAUGUGCAAGGCCUUGUUUGAUUGGCAAAAGUUCAGUUUGCUAUCGAAGAAAGAAUUAAUACAAUGAUUUUCUUCGAUUCUGUCUAUCUUGGAUUCUUCAAGGUCACGCCAUACAUGAUACUGGUAAAAUUUGCAGGAGUCAAGUAGCAAGUCAUCUUGAGCAUUUUCAUGUAUAAUCAUAAAACACGUAGGUUUUUUUCAUAUUGUAUUUCUGAAAAAUACAAACAGAUACCACUAAUGGAAGGAAAGAUAUUCGAAA